AGCAAUCAAUCCCCAAUCUCUCCCCUUCAAGUAGUGGUAUAUCUUAGCAAGUAAUUACAUCACAACUCAGUGGUUCAUGGGUGGCCUAGAAAAGAAGCAGCCCCCCAGUGGAAGAACUAUACAACUCGCCCUCCACGAAUCACAUACACUGGACUCCGCAGCAGCACUCACAAACCUCUCUAGGACUAGCGCCGGCGUGUAAAAUGCCGGCGCGUCUACACCGUCACCAUCACCAUACACUCACGAGAACUUGGAGGUGUUGAGCCUGCCCCACCACUUCCGCUUGGCCGAGUUGGGGGAGGACUCGUUGCCGCCGCCGCCGCCGCUCGCGAGCUUGUUCAGGAUCACCUUGGUCUCCCUGAUGCGGGAGCCGAAGUCCUUCUUCCACGAGUCGAAGUUCUGCUUCAGCCUGCGGAGCUCCACGUCCGGGUUCAGGCUCGCGUCCGCCUGCCCGGACUUGACCUCCACCAGGAACUUGGCGUCGUCGGCGAACACCUGGCUCCGCUGCUCCAGCUCCUCCGCCAGCCGCCCGAUGACGCUCAUGCUGGCGUUCAU
rnacentral:rRNA from 1 species